AAAAAAAAUAAAAAAAAUGAAUGAAUAAAUAAAGCUCAGCAAAAAAAAAAAAAAGAAAAGGGAAAAAAAAAAAAGAACUGAUUUUUGAAAAGCUUUAAUUAAAAGUUCGAUUUGUUUUUUUUUUU
rnacentral:ribozyme from 1 species